UCUUAUUCUGUAGCUAUUGAGUACAUUAAAUGGCUACUAAAAUCAUUAUUUCAGCAUGUAUAUUUCUGUAUAAUAUUUUUAUUUUCUAUUCACCAACUAAGAGCUUUUCCUUGUUGUAUUUCUCUUUGACACUUUUACCUUCCUAUACUUGCUCCCUUAUUUAUAUGCUCCCACAUCUAUAGACUUUAUUUUCCUCAAGAUUUGGAGGAGCUUUACCACCACCAUGUUGUUCUUUGGGUCUUUUCAAGCUCAGUAAUCCGUGUCUUGUUUGGGGUAGAGCUCUGGGGGAAAAAAAUUGAGUUGUAAAGCAAUGUUUAGGUGAAUUUCCAUGAGCUGCAGCUGGGCAUGGAACACCUUCCAGUAUGAAGGACUCUAUGAGAUAAAGCUAAAGUGAUGCUUCCCUGCAUUGGAUUUCAGUAACUAAUGCAGUAACACAAAUGCCCAUAAGGAUUUAUAGUCUUGGUCUUCUAGGAUACUCUGAUUUCUGCAGCUUCUUUUUUCGUUUUUUCCUCUUUGGUUUAAAAGAGAUGGACAUUUCUGUACUUUUUUCCUAGAAAAAUUUUACUCCAUUGCUAAAAUCAUCAUGUUCUCCUGACCCUCAGCAUUGUCUUCCAACAGGGAACUGGCAGGAUGGCUCAUUAUGACAUCAGUACUACAGUGUUUGUUCAUAAUGAUUUAUAUUAUUAUGUAUGUAAUGGAAUAGAACUUGCUGUGGAGGAAAGAGAGGUACAUCCUAUAAGAUGUACAGCCUCCUAUAAGAAAUAUCAGCUCUCAGAAUCUCAUGCUUCUCAGCUUCCCAGAAGAAGAAUCCUGGGCAAUGGAAUUUUUCCAAAAAAUAUGGCUGCCACAGUUACCCAGAGAAGCUGUCAUGGUCCCAAGCCUGAAAGAGCUCAAGGAGCAUUUACUGAUACUGGAGGAAGAGCAGAUUAGCCAGGAUACACCAGGAGGCUUUCCAUCCUCCACUAUACUCCACCAUGUGACAGUAGGGGAUUAUGUGGAACUAGAGAAAGAAAAUUCCAAAUUCUCCAGCUGUCAGAAACAGCAGCAGGUAAAGCAAAGACUCACAGGAAAAAUAAAGUUGUAAAGUGUUUGGCCCUCUUCCCAAUAACUCAGUGGGGUGUGGGAUGACGGGGAGAUUUCCAACCAAACCACACACCCUUUGGAAACAGCAAAACCUGGAUCAAUCCCAUCUAAAUUUAGAUAUCCAUCUGAGGCGCCUGUAUCUGAUGGACCAGUCCUUCCAGAACUGGUCCAUCCUCACUGGAGGCAGUGAAGAAACUUUAAAGACUGAUAUUUUUGGCCUCCAUCUCCAUCUCUGUACUGUUGCAAAUGCAAGGCAACAGGAUCCCUAAAUAAGGCACCUCAGAGAAAUUGCUAAUUUUUUUGAAUCCAUCUGAGUUGA